rnacentral:rRNA from 1 species
UACAGAGGGUGCAAGCGUUGUUCGGAAUUACUGGGCGUAAAGCGUGCGCAGGCGGUUUUGUAAGUCUGUCGUGAAAUCCCCGGGCUUAACCUGGGAAUGGCGAUGGAGACUGCAAGGCUAGAGUUUGGCAGAGGGGGGUAGAAUUCCACGUGUAGCAGUGAAAUGCGUAGAGAUGUGGAGGAACACCGAUGGCGAAGGCAGCCCCCUGGGUCAAAACUGACGCUCAUGCACGAAAGCGUGGGGAGCAAACAGG